rnacentral:rRNA from 1 species
UACGUAGGGGGCAAGCGUUGUCCGGAAUCAUUGGGCGUAAAGAGCGCGUAGGCGGUCCGGUAAGUCCGCUCUGAAAGUCCGGGGCUCAACCCCGGGAGGCGGGCGGAUACUGUCGGGCUAGAGUCCGGAAGAGGCGAGUGGAAUUCCUGGUGUAGCGGUGAAAUGCGCAGAUAUCAGGAGGAACACCAAUGGCGAAGGCAGCUCGCUGGGACGGUACUGACACUGAGGCGCGAAAGCGUGGGGAGCGAACAGG